CGAGUACGACCCGUUACGACGGGGAAGUGUCUGAUGUCAGGCUUCCAAGAAAAGCCCGAACCACGUUAAUUCAAAUUGGCCCGUACCCUAAACCGACACAGGUGGGAAGGUAGAGUAUACCCAGGGGCGCGAGAUAACUCUCUCUAAGGAACUCGGCAAAAUGGCCCCGUAACUUCGGGAGAAGGGGUGCCACCGAGAGGUGGUCGCAGUGAAGAGUCCCAGGCGACUGUUUACCAAAAACACAGGUCUCCGCUAAGUCGCAAGACGAUGUAUGGGGGCUGACGCCUGCCCAGUGCCGGAAGGUUAAGGAAGUUGGUCAGGGAGCAAUCCUGAAGCUAGCGACUGAAGCCCCGGUGAACGGCGGCCGUAACUAUAACGGUCCUAAGGUAGCGAAAUUCCUUGUCGGGUAAGUUCCGACCCGCACGAAAGGCGUAACGAUCUGGGAGCUGUCUCGGAGAGAGGCUCUGCGAAAUAGGAAUGUCUGUGAAGAUACGGACUACCUGCACCCGGACAGAAAGACCCUAUGAAGCUUUACUGUAGCUUGGUAUUGGGUUCGGGCUUUGAUUGCGCAGGAUAGGUGGGAGACUAUGAGAUAGCUCUUGUGGGAGUUAUGGAGUCACUGGUGAGAUACCACUCUAUCAAGGCUAGAAUUCUAACUUUGACCCGUUAUCCGGGCAGAGAACAGUAUCAGGUGGGCAGUUUGACUGGGGCGGUCGCCUCCUAAAUGGUAACGGAGGCGCGCAAAGGUUCCCUCAGGCUGGUUGGAAAUCAGCCAUUGAGUGUAAAGGCAUAAGGGAGCUUGACUGCGAGACUGACAAGUCGAGCAGGUACGAAAGUAGGCCUUAGUGAUCCGACGGUUCCGCGUGGAAGGGCCGUCGCUCAACGGAUAAAAGUUACUCUAAGGAUAACAGGCUGAUCUCCCCCAAGAGUUCACAUCGACGGGGAGGUUUGGCACCUCGAUGUCGGCUCAUCGCAACCUGGGGCUGUAGUCGGUCCCAAGGGUUGGGCUGUUCGCCCAUUAAAGCGGUACGUGAGCUGGGUUCAGAACGUCGUGAGACAGUUCGGUCCAUAUCCGGUGCAGGCGUAGGAACAUUGAGAGGAGUCUUCCUUAGUACGAGAGGACCGGGAAGAACGCACCGCUGGUGUACCUGUUAUCGUGCCAACGGUAAACGCAGGGUAGCCAAGUGCGGAGAGGAUAACCGCUGAAAGCAUCUAAGUGGGAAGCCCACCUCAAGAUGAGUGUUCCCAUGGCAAAAGCCAGUAAGGUCACGGGUAGACCACCCGUUAAUAGGCGCUAGAUGGAAGUCCAGCUAUGGAUGUAGUCGAGGCGUACUAACAGACCGAGGGCUUG
rnacentral:rRNA from 1 species